AGCCGCACGACCUUCUGGAGUAGUGUUUGUCGCAUAGCGAUGGCU
ncrna:unclassified sequences COG2908 RNA